rnacentral:tRNA from 1 species
UCCCUGGAGGACUAGUGGUUAGGCCUCGGCGCGCUCUUCGCCGUGGCCUGGGUUCGAUUCCCGGCCAGGGAU